rnacentral:rRNA from 1 species
UACGUAGGGUGCGAGCGUUAAUCGGAAUUACUGGGCGUAAAGCGUGACGCAGGCGGUUAUGUAAGACAGAUGUGAAAUGCCCGGGCUUAACCUGGGAACUGCAUUUGUGACUGCACGGCUAGAGUGUGUCAGAGGGGGUAGAAUUCCACGUGUAGCAGUGAAAUGCGUAGAUAUGUGGAGGAAUACCGAUGGCGAAGGCAGCCCCCUGGGAUAACACUGACGCUCAUGCACGAAAGCGUGGGGAGCAAACAGG